ACCACGCCCGGCUCAAGCAGGCACUUUUUAAAAAAGAUUUAUUUAUUAUGUAUACAGUAUUUUGCCUUCACAUAUGCAUGCCUGUGGAUCAGAAGAGGGCACCAGAUCUCAUUAUAGUUGGUCAUGAGCCACCAUGUGGUUGCUGGAAAUUGGAAAUUGAACUCAGGACCUCUGGAAGAGUAGCCAUUGCUCUUAACCUCUGAGCCAUCACUCCAGCCCAAACAGGCACUUCUUAAAUUGUAGCCCAGAAGUAAAUAUACCAUUUCAAUAAAUUAACGGGAAAACAACAAAUCAAAAAACAACAAGUUCAGACACCUGCAGAUCUGUCCAUGCAGGCUCUGACUUCCUGCCUGCUACAAUCCUAGC
rnacentral:lncRNA from 1 species